rnacentral:ncRNA from 1 species
GAGUAAUCGUUGAAAAAGAAAGUAGCUCAGAAUGAUUUUAUAGAGAGCAGGGGAUGGUGGAAGCCUUGCAUUGAUAUCUGAAGUGAAGAGAGCUUUGGAGAUUGUUGUGAAAGUCUUAAAGAUAUAAGCAACAGGUAAUCCUGCCUUAAAGGAAAGAGUGGAUAGUAUUAACUAUCAAUUAGAGUGGUAACGCGGAUUAUAUUUCGUCUCUUGG